rnacentral:rRNA from 1 species
UACGUAGGGUGCAAGCGUUAAUCGGAAUUACUGGGCGUAAAGCGUGCGCAGGCGGUUUUGUAAGCCCGAUGUGAAAUCCCCGGGCUUAACCUGGGAACUGCAUUGGUGACUGCAAGGCUUGAGUGUGUCAGAGGGAGGUGGAACUCCGCGUGUAGCAGUGAAAUGCGUAGAUAUGCGGAGGAACACCGAUGGCGAAGGCAGCCUCCUGGGAUAACACUGACGCUCAUGCACGAAAGCGUGGGGAGCAAACAGG